UACGUAGGGUGCAAGCGUUAAUCGGAAUUACUGGGCGUAAAGCGUGCGCAGGCGGUUUUGUAAGUCUGACGUGAAAUCCCCGGGCUCAACCUGGGAAUUGCGUUGGAGACUGCAAGGCUAGAAUCUGGCAGAGGGGGGUAGAAUUCCACGUGUAGCAGUGAAAUGCGUAGAGAUGUGGAGGAACACCGAUGGCGAAGGCCGCCCCCUGGGUCAAGAUUGACGCUCAUGCACGAAAGCGUGGGGAGCAAACAGG
rnacentral:rRNA from 1 species